GAUGAACGCUGGCGGCGUGCCUAAUACAUGCAAGUCGAGCGAACAGACGAGGAGCUUGCUCCUCUGACGUUAGCGGCGGACGGGUGAGUAACACGUGGAUAACCUACCUAUAAGACUGGGAUAACUUCGGGAAACCGGAGCUAAUACCGGAUAAUAUAUUGAACCGCAUGGUUCAAUAGUGAAAGACGGUUUUGCUGUCACUUAUAGAUGGUUCCGCGCCGCAUUAGCUAGUUGGUAAGGUAACGGCUUACCAAGGCAACGAUGCGUAGCCGACCUGAGAGGGUGAUAGGCCACACUGGAACUGAGACACGGACAAGACUACUAAGGGAGGCAGCAGUAGGGAAUCUUACGCAAUGGGCGAAAGCUUGACGGAGCAACGCCGCGUGAGUGAUGAAGGUCUUCGGAUCGUAAAACUCUGUUAUUAGGGAAGAACAAAUGUGUAAGUAACUAUGCACGUCUUGACGGUACCUAAUCAGAAAGCCACGGCUAACUACGUG
rnacentral:rRNA from 1 species